CUAUUAAUCUUGAAACAUUUUAUAUCAGUAUAGAUUUCUAUUUAUUGGUAAACAUUUAAAGUUAUUUUGUUAUAUAUAUGUUUCUAGCUUUUUACGGGGUAUUGUAGCUCAUUUAAAAUGUAAUGAAAACAGGUUAGCAUUUAGUCAUCUGUAAUAAUCAAACUUGUAGUCAUAGUAGGUGUGUUUUCAAGGUUAAACAGACAUAUUUAGAUAGACAGAUGGUCUUCAAAGACCUACAGAAUAUGGUAUUUAGGAUGUUUAGUAACUGAAGGAUUUUCAUGACAGUGAGACACGUCUGCUCCUGGCAGCACCAAUUUACUUCAAAAGAACACGGUGGGCACUGAAGAAACUCUACAAGGAGUUUGCUGUCUUUACAACAAAGCUAGCCAUUUUGGAAAAAAUAAAAUGCACUUGCUUCAACUGCUGCGUGUAUAUUGUCCAAACUGGACAGACAGGACAUGAAAGAAAGCAGCUGACAAACUUUGCCAAGACAAGGAUGGCCUGGAAUUUACUGUGGAAUAGAGGCUGGCAUAGAAACUGUGUCAGUCCUCCUGAGGCUACAGGACCUAGAAAUCCCCCAGGAGACACAUCUUUAGAUAAGAUCUAUUGGGAUGGAGCGAGCCAUCCUGAGUUACGGGCUGCUGUUCC